rnacentral:RNase_P_RNA from 1 species
UGAGUAAACAGGGCAGUCGCACUCCCGUAACGAAAGGUCGGGAAGUGAGGAAAGUCCGGGCUGCACAGGGCAAGGAUAACGGGUAACACCCGCCGAAGGCGACUUCAGGACAAGUGCAACAGAGAUAUACCGCCCGAACCGGGUCACUACCGAGUUCGAGGUAAGGGUGGAAAAGUGGGGUAAGAGCCCACUGAACGGCAUGGAAGUGUCCGUUCCUGUAAACUCUAUCCGCAGCAACACCGUGGUAACGGGGACAUUAGGCCUGCCCGGCUGUUCCCGAGGAGGUGGCUGGAGCAUAUAGGUAACGGUAUGCCAAGACAGAUGACUGCCGCGAGCAAGCAAUAUUGGCCUAUACUCGCACAGAACCCGGCUUACGGUUUACUCACUAA